rnacentral:rRNA from 1 species
AAUGAACGCUAGCGGCAGGCUUAAUACAUGCAAGUCGAGGGACAGCACAGGUAGCAAUACUGGGUGGUAACCGGCAAACGGGUGCGGAACACGUACACAACCUUCCUUUAAGUGGGGGAUAGCCCAGAGAAAUUUGGAUUAAUACCCCGUAAUAUAGUUGAAUGGCAUCAUUUGAUUAUUAUAGCUACGGCGCUUAAUGAUGGGUGUGCGGCUGAUUAGCUAGUUGGCGGGGUAACGGCCCACCAAGUCUACGAUCAGUAGCUGAUGUGAGAGCAUGAUCAGCCACACGGGCCCUGAGACACGGGCCCGACUCCUACGGGAGGCAGCAGUAAGGAAUAUUGGUCAAUGGACGCAAGUCUGAACCAGCCAUGCCGCGUGAAGGAUUAAGGUCCUCUGGAUUGUAAACUUCUUUUAUUUGGGACGAAAAAGGGCCUUUCUAGGUCAACUGACGGUACCAGAUGAAUAAGCACCGGCUAACUCCGUGCCAGCCGCCGCCGUAAGAC